rnacentral:rRNA from 1 species
AACGCGAAGAACCUUACCUGGGCUUGAACUGCUACUGACCAGCGGUGGAAACAUCGCCUUCUCGCAAGAGACAGUAGUAGAGGUGCUGCAUGGCUGUCGUCAGCUCGUGCCGUGAGGUGUUGGGUUAAGUCCCGCAACGAGCGCAACCCUUACUCUUAGUUGCCACCCGCAAGGGGGAACUCUAAGAGGACUGCUCCGGAUAACGGAGAGGAAGGUGGGGAUGACGUCAAGUCAGCAUGGCCUUUAUGUCCAGGGCUACACACGUGUUACAAUGCAUGGUACAGACUGUUGCGAACCCGCGAGGGGGAGCUAAUCGGAAAAAACCAUGCUCAGUUCGGACUGCAGUCUGCAACUCGACUGCACGAAGCCGGAAUCGCUAGUAAUGCCGUAUCAGAACGACGGCGUGAAUACGUUCCCGGGCCUUGUACACACCGCUCGCGA